AUUGAACGCUGGCGGCAUGCUUUACACAUGCAAGUCGAACGGUAACAGGUUAAGCUGACGAGUGGCGAACGGGCGAGUAAUGCAUCGUAACGUGCCCGAUCGUGGGGGAUAACGCAGCGAAAGCUGCGCUAAUACCGCAUACGAUCUGAGGAGGAAAGCGGGGGACCGUAAGGCCUCGCGCGAUCGGAGCGGCCGAUGUCAGAUUAGGUAGUUGGUGGGGUAAAGGCCCACCAAGCCGACGAUCUGUAGCGGGUCUGAGAGGACGACCAGCCACACUGGGACUGAGACACGGCCCAGACUCCUACGGGAGGCAGCAGUGGGGAAUUUUGGACAAUAGGCGAAAGCCUGAUCCAGCAAUGCCGCGUGCAGGAAGAAGGCCUUCGGGUUGUAAACUGCUUUUGUACGGAGCGAAAAGGUCCUUUCUAAUACAAGGGGCUCAUGACGGUACCGUAAGAAUAAGCACCGGCUAACUACGUGCCAGCCGCCGCAGUAACAC
rnacentral:rRNA from 1 species